CCUACGGGAGGCAGCAGUGAGGAAUAUUGGUCAAUGGCCGGAAGGCUGAACCAGCCAUGCCGCGUGAAGGUCAGUGCCCUAUGGGCGUUAAACUUCUUUUGUGCGGGAGCAAUAAUGGUCACGUGUGGCCAGACGAGAGUACCGUACGAAUAAGCAUCGGCUAACUCCGUUCCAGCAGCCGCGGUAAUACGGGGGAUGCAAGCCUUAACCGGAUUUAUUGGGUUUAAAGGGUGCGUAGGCUGUGAGGUAAGUCAGCGGUGAAAUGCCCCCGCUCAACGGGGUGAAGUGCCAUUGAUACUGCCUGGCUGGAAUGCGGAUGCCGUGGGAGGAAUGUGUGGUGUAGCGGUGAAAUGCAUAGAUAUCACACAGAACACCGAUUGCGAAGGCAUCUCACGAAUCCGCGAUUGACGCUGAUGCACGAAAGCGUGGGUAUCAAACAGGAUUAGAUACCCGGGUAGUC
rnacentral:rRNA from 1 species